rnacentral:rRNA from 1 species
CUUAGUGGCGGACGGGGUGAGUAACGCGUGAGAAUCUGCCUUCAGGACGGAGACAACAGUUGGAAACGACUGCUAAGCCCCGAUGAACCGAAAGGGAAAAUAUUUAUAGCCUGAAGAUGAGCUCGCGUCCGAUUAGCUAGUUGGGGGGGUAAAGGCCCACCAAGGCGACGAUCGGUAGCUGGUCUGAGAGGACGAUCAGCCACACUGGGACUGAGACACGGCCCAG